AGAGUUUGAUCCUGGCUCAGGACGAACGCUGGCGGCGUGCUUAACACAUGCAAGUCGAACGAUGAAGCCCAGCUUGCUGGGUGGAUUAGUGGCGAACGGGUGAGUAACACGUGGGUGAUCUGCCCUGCACUUCGGGAUAAGCCUGGGAAACUGGGUCUAAUACCGGAUAGGACCGGCGGCCGCAUGGCUGUCGGUGGAAAGGUUUUCCGGUGCAGGAUGGGCCCGCGGCCUAUCAGCUUGUUGGUGGGGUAACGGCCCACCAAGGCGACGACGGGUAGCCGGCCUGAGAGGGCGACCGGCCACACUGGGACUGAGACACGGCCCAGACUCCUACGGGAGGCAGCAGUGGGGAAUAUUGCACAAUGGGCGCAAGCCUGAUGCAGCGACGCCGCGUGAGGGAUGACGGCCUUCGGGUUGUAAACCUCUUUCAGUACCGACGAAGCGCAAGUGACGG
rnacentral:rRNA from 1 species